CUGGCUCUGCAGCAGCAAAGCGGAGGGGGGUGGCGAGAGAGAGUGUGUGUGUGUAACGAGGGGAGGAGGGGGAGAGCUGGCAGCCAGCCAGCCACCAUCAGAAUUAGCUCAUUGUUCAAUAGAACCAGCACAGGCAACCAAACCCCAGCCUGGAGAGACUUUCUCCCAGCCGCCCCCACCCCUUUUCUUUUUUCCUCCAAGGCUGCUGCACUUUGGAAGAGGUGCAGUCAUUCUUUCCCCACACCCCCAACCCUACCCACUCCCCCCGCAACUAUAAAUUCCCUUCUGGAGCAUGCUGCCCUCUUUUUAAUCCACAUUUGUGUUUCAGAUCAUGUAGAAAGGACAGAAAGGGAGCAGGGGCUUUUGUCUAUUAUUCUCUUUGUGGUACCGGAGAGAAACUGCAGUCCCAAGACUUAAGAGUCUAAAAAUGAGCACUGGUUUUCUGCUGAAGAGGAUCUUAUUCCUUUGAGGAUAAAAGAAACACUUUGAAUUCCAGAAUGUGCUGGACAGCUAGCUUACAUAAUGCCAUUUAGCAAACAUCUACAGUGGUGAGAUUUGGGGAGCCUGUGAAAGCUCUGUGAAAUUGGCCCUUUUAAAACAUGGAACAUUUAAACAUGGAAAAUUGAGAUCACUUAUAAUGGAAUGGAG